AGUCCCGUAGGCGAAUUGGUUUAAGCCGUCACCCCCUCAAGGUGAAGAUGCCAGUUCAAAUCUGGUCGGGACUACCA
rnacentral:tRNA from 1 species